rnacentral:rRNA from 1 species
AUUGAACGCUGGCGGCAUGCUUUACACAUGCAAGUCGAACGAGUGGCGAACGGGUGAGUAAUAUAUCGGAACGUACCGAGUAAUGGGGGAUAACCAAUCGAAAGAUUGGCUAAUACCGCAUAUUAUUCGAGCGGCCGAUAACGGAUUAGCGAGUUGGGGGGGUAAAGGCCUACCAAGGCUACGAUCAGUAGCGGGUCUGAGAGGACGACCCGCCACACUGGGACUGAGACACGGCCCAGCCUCCUACGUGAGGCAGCAGUGGGGAAUUUUGGACAAGGGGGGCAACCCUGAUCCAGCCAUGCCGCGUGUAUGAAGAAGGCCUUCGGUUUGUAAAGUACUUUUGUUAGGGAAGCGUUACCCGCAGAAGAAGCACCGGCUAACUCCGUGCCAGCAGCCGCGGUAAUAC